GUAAAUCUCAUUAAAUUUAAUAAACUAUCAUCUUGUCUUUAUUUUUAGUUAGCACAUACCCUAAACACUUAAAACUGUAAGCUAAUGUUAUAUAAGAGCAGAUGCUGCUGGUGCAAUAAGCUGUACGUUUUACGUCCAAUGGAUGCAUGAUCCGAUUAGUCGACUAAUCGCAAAAAUAAUCGGUGACUAGUCGACUAUCAAAAUAAUCGUUUGUGGCAGCCCUAGAUGACAUGCACACUCUUGGUGCCUUGGAAGCUGGUAAUCCAGACGUGUGAUGUCAUCCAAAAGAGCCGGAAAAUGGGAAAUGACGCAGGUUGAGUCGUCUUGCGUUUCACGAACUGCAACGUCAGGUUUUUUUUGUUUUUUUUGGCUGUUUUAGUGUGGACGCGCAACUCUUUGAAAACAACUGAAGAGGCUAGUGUGGACGCAGAGCGUUUUCAGACAAACGCCUUUUUCAAAUCUAUCCGGGCUAGCGUGGACAUAGCUUAAAACAAACAGGAUGUAAGUAACUAAAUACAAUAAAAUAAUCAAAAUGUGCUCAUACACCUUAAGUCACAGGCUGAGAGGCUGCCAAGUGCUGCAAAGCAGCAGCACACUCAAAAAUGAGUCUCCUCUCAGCAUCCAGUGCUUUAUUGGGGCUAAAGAAGCCUCUUUUUUUUUUUUUUUUUUUUUUUUUUUUUUUUAAACCUUGGAUCCAGCAAUGUUGCCAGUGACAUGAUGCUCAUUGACUGCAACAUGUAGAGCUUCUCCUUUAAUUGUCUCCUCAGACACUCAACCAUGGUGGACCUCUCUGGAGUUAGGACAACUCCCAUUUCCUCUUAAUUUAGUGCAUGGUGCAACAUGGUUAGAAGUGGAAUUACUUUGGAUUCAGACACUCUUUUCCUCUGACAGCUCAGUGGUGGCAUCAUUAAAUGGGGAGAGCAUUUUGAGACAUUCUGCCAUAAGGUCAUACUGUUCAGAGGAUAGUGGGCAAAUAUCAGUGUGCAGGCCAGCUAACGAUGCUCCAAUAGGUUCCCUGAGCUCAUGAAUACAUUGAAGCAUUUGGAAUGUGCUGUUCCAACAUGUAUCCACCUCUUGAAUUAACUUCAGUGGAGGCCGGCCCAUUUGCUCUUGCACCUCUGUCAGCCUCUCCUAAGAAAACAGCCAACACAAAUUGAUUAAUUCAAGCUGUGUUAUUGCAGCAGCUCCUUAAAGCAAUAAUGAAAUAAUGGAACAAACCUUAGCAGUUGCACUGCUCUUGAAAUAUCCCACGGUCCUCCUACAGGUGGUCUGGAUCUCAGACAGCGCGGUGUGUUGAUCAAGAGCUUUUUUUGACCAUUAGGUUCAAUGUAUGCGCCACACAAUUACUGUGAUGCAAACAAAGCUCCUUUGCACAAGCACCCAUGUUUGCUGCUCCAUCAGUCACAUAACAUGUAACUUUGUCUGUAAUUCCCCACUCUGACAUGAGCGCUGCUGUUACUUGGGACAAAUUGAUAGCAGUAUGUGCUUUAGGGAAGUGCUGAACACCUAACACUACAGAAUGCAAUGCAGUGUUAGAAUCAAUGACAUGGCAGGUGACAGCUAGGAAACCCUCUGUGUUAAUGGAGGUCCACAUAUCAGAUGUCAAACUAACUACAGAAGCCUUUGCCACAGUCAGUUUUUCUUUUUGUUUGGACUCUUUGUAUCUUUGGUCCACCAUAGCUUUCAAAGCCUAAACAAAAGAAAGUACCGCUAUUAAUAUGGAAAUAUAGGCAAACUGGAAACAUGCUUCAUAUUUUUAAGAUACACACCUGCCUUGUGGGGAGAACAGUUAAGGUUCAAAGCUUUAACAAGCUUUCUAAACCCACUGUCCUCCACAAUAGUGAAGGGCUGGGAAUCUAUCACCAUGUUGACCAAUGCCUCAUCCAUAUCAUUCCUCUCCCCUGAUAAAACAAACAAAACAUUAAGAAAUUACAUAUAGCAGUAAUUACAACCCAAAUAUAAAUGAAUGACAUGGGGAAUGUAAAUGUAUCAAAUGACUGUAUCCUUGCAACCUAAAAAAAACUUACCUGAGCUUGGUCCACCUUGGAUAGUCUCCUUGUUUUCACACAGGGCUCUGUAAUGCCUCAGCAUAGUUGAGGUGUUGUUGCUGUAUCCAAGUUCUUUGGAGCACAACAAACACUUCACCUUUCAAUAAACCAAAAGACAGAAAUCAGAUUAUAGGAUCUGUGGUGUGGUUUAUUUAUAUUAUGGUACUUAUCAUUUGUGAUAUUUAUUACUGUGUGCAUACCUUAUUAGGAGAGAUGAGAUCAGUGUUGCCAGACAGGGGAAAUCUUCUCUUCCUUGCUGGUUCCAUCGAAGAAGAAAUGCUCGAGUAACUAUGUAACAUGUACGUAAUCCAAUUCCACAAAACAAUGUGAUGGGGGAAUCAGCUGUGUUUUGUUACCCAUUUUAUUUGGAAACUGGCGAGCCAGUUCCUGAAUCAGUCAUGUGGUACGGGCUGCCCGCGAGGCCUCGAACGUCACUGCAUACGUAAUCAAAGCAAGCCUCUGUACACACUUCACAAAAACUCCCCCGAGAUUACCCGACACGCUUUGAAGCUUCGACACACAGGACACAUCACUACCCAGACGGUCCUGAUCCCCAAAGACAACCAAACUGUAGUUGCAAAAACCAUCAAGCGCUACAAUGAAACUGGCUCACAUGAGGCCCAUCCCAGGAAAGGAAGGCCAAGAGUCACCUCUGCUUUGUGUGUCACCUGUGCAGUGACAACCAUUUCAGGUGACUACUUUAUGAAGCUUACUGAGAAGGCAAAGGGUGUGCAAAGCAAAGGGUGGCUAUUUUGAAGACUAAGACACAAAACCUCUUUUUAUUUUAUACUUUUUUCUUUACUAUAUGAUCAGGUUAGGGUUCCAUAUGGGUUCGUUCAUAGUUUUGAUGCCUUCAGUGAGAAUCUACAAUGCAAGUAGCCAUGAAAACAGAACUUUGAAUGGGAAGGUGUCCAAACUUUUAACUGGUAGUGUACAUUAUAAGUACAAUGUCAAUUCUGAACAUUCUGGUUUACACAAUAACAAAGAAAUAUGACUCUUUUUUUUUGUUGUUGUUUUUGUUGUUGUUGUUGAAAGAAUCAAUUAUUUAUGUCACGUGACACAUGUGAGUUACAGCCUUGCUUGAUGAAGGUAUAUUUUUUGAAAAUGCAUUAACAGAGUAUUGAAUUUUAAGUCUUUUGAAUAAUAUACCUAAACCAACAGGGAAAUUGUGUAAAAUAUCCUGUGCCAUGAUCUAAAGAGUAAUGUAACAGAGUAUCAUAGGAAUAAAGGGCUUUUUAAGCAAAUCACAAAAUUGUUAUUUUCUUUUUCUUUUUUUACAUUUCUCUGCAACAGCUUGAGUAUAUCUUUGAGGUGAUGAUGCUGGAGGUGGUGCAGGGGGUAGCUUGUAAGGCUGUUGCUGCUGUCACUGGUAGUACUGUUGCUUCUACAGUUUGUGCUGUAGAUUACUUAGGAGUAGUUGAUGCUGGUGGUGCUACAACCUGGGGAGUAGUUGCUGGUGGAGUUGUAGCUUUUGGAUCGAGGUCUGCUGCUGUGGUCUGUGAGGCUGGGUCUGCUGCUGUUUGUGAUUUGGCUUGUGGACCUGCAGCGCGUGCUGGUUCUGGUGGCGUUUUCUUCCUUUGCUGUAGCUUCUGACCCCUGGAUCUGAUACUAUUGUUGCUUUUAAGGUGGUGAUGUAGCAUGCAUUCAAACUGUUCUGCCUGUGCAUCAAAAACUUACUAAGGUGCUUUGCGUAGGAUUUUCCUGUAGUCUGUCACAGACAGAAAGACCAUGUAAUGUUCUGGGAUUUCAUAUGGAUAACGAGCCUCUCUGCCAAAAAUCAGGUAAUGGGGUGAGUAUUUCAGUGGUCAUUUGCUUUUUUGUUCUGAGACCAAACAUCACAACAUCCAGAUAGUCAUCCCAUGUUUCUGGAUGGUCACCAACAACCUUACAGAGGGCUCUGGCAAUAAAAGCAUAUGCAAAACAUUCAUAUGAAAGAUCAUUUUCCUUUUUUCUUUUUUUUUUUUAAAUGUCAUACCUUUAAUGUUUUAGUGGAAGGGAACCCCAUAAAACUAAUGUUUUACGUGUUAAGCUGGAUGUACCCAAAGUAUCAGGCUUUGGUGUGGUCUAUUACAGAAUAUAACAAAGAAUUUACCUCUGGAUGGUGCCAUUCAUUCUCUCUACUGAGCCAUUUGUUUGUGGGUGAUAUGGGGAGCAGAGGUUUCUUCUGUGUAACAUUCUGCAUAACCUUUUGAGCUGCAACAGCAAGUCAAAUAUACUGACUAAGUACAUUACAAGAAGAUUUGAAAUAUACAGCAGUCAUAAAAAUAUCAAACAGAUUUAUAAAAACCAGAAGUAGAAGCUUAAAGACGUAUAUAAUUUUUUUUAAAGUGUUACAUGCCAAUAACAAUUUUUGCCAAAGACUGAAGUACUUACUGAAUUGACAAAUUCUUUUCCUUGCUCACUAAGAACCCUGUUAGGUGCUUCAAACUGAUGGACAAAUUUGAUCAGUUUGUCACUUCCUUUGCUGAUUUAGACUUCAGUGGGGAUCCGUGUUGGUAUUUUGAAGUAGCCAAUGAAAACACAAAUGUACUGAUGUCCCCUUUUGGUUUCUAAGUUUCCCAAGAAGGUCCAUUCCAACCAAUUGAAAUGGCUGAGAAAUCUUAACUAGAAAAACAUACGUUAAUAAUAAUGAAAUUACACAGAACGCUAAUCUCCUAUUCUUAUUUUUGAAGUACACAAUCAGUAGGUAGGUUUCUAAACAAUCAAAACAUUCUGUGAUUAAACGUGAUUAUUUUCUAUGGUUGAUGACUCCCUUUAUGGGAAUGUAUUAUUUUUGUUGUUUUUUGUUUUUAAUUGUUGCAGCACUUGCUUGGCAAACUGCACACUGGGAACCCUGAUCUAAAACAAAAGCAAUUAAGAAACGCACCAGUUACAGUCAGUCCGACCUGUGGCCCUUUGCUGCAUGUCUUCCUUCCAUGUCUUCUAUCCGCUUUCCUGUCUGUCUUCACUAUCGCUACCCAAUAAAGGCAAAAUGCCAAAAAAUAUAUUUUUUUUGUGUGUGUGUGUGUGUGUGUGUGUGUGUGUGUGUGUGUGUGUGUGUGUGUGUGUGUGUGUGUGUGUGUGUGUGUGUGUGUGUGUGUGUGUGUGUGUGUGUGUGUGUGUGUGUGUGUGUGUGUGUGUGUGUGUGUGUGUGUGUGUGUGUGUGUGUGUGUGUGUGUGUGUGUGUGUGUGUGUAUAAAGAUAACAGAGUUAUUCUCAGAACUCAGAGCUGAGGUUCCCCUUUUCUAAGUCUGUAUCUUCCAAACCAGAAAGAGGAAGCUGCAAGUUGUUUAUCACAGAAGAGUUCAUGUCAAAAGUUACUAGGUGAAAAGUCACAUAGACAUGUGCUUAAUGAUAAAAUAAAAAGAUACAUUUCAUAUAGCUGAUCACAUUAUACAAUAUUCUCUUUUGACAUUCCCUCCUGUUGAUCACGAAAUGAAAUGUACAAUUCAUCAGUGAGUAACUACUUGUCUUUCACAUUCUCAGUUACUACAUCAUUAGUUACACUUCAUCUUCAUCUAACAAAUAGGAAAAGAAGUCUUCAUGAUCUUCAUCGGUUUUGGUACAUCUGCGUAUGCUGUGAGUGACAAACUUAUCAUCUGUGAAAUUACGGCUUUAAACAAGGAAUAACUCAAAUAAAGAAAAAUAAAAUCAGGAAAAGUCCAACGACAAUCAACAGUCUCUUUAAAACUUGUUAAAGUUGAGCGCUUCUUCCUGGAUGAGGAUGUUGAUGUUGUUGUGCACUUUACAAAAGUCAUUCUCAGGGUGUUUCCCAUAUAUGGUUGUGCUAAUACGCUCGGCAUGUGCGAGCAAACAUAACAGUCUUUCUCUGCAGUUCUGUUAAACGCGUAUCUGUACCAGGCAUAGUCCAUCUCUUUUCUCGGCUCGUGUAUUGUUGUCUUCCUUCUUCCUGGGUGGAUAGUGUGAUGAGCAGAGCCGUUGCCAGUAGUGAGACACCAGUUACCACCUGAGAACACUACAUUUUACUUAAGGCAUUUAGGUCAUUUCUAUUUUUUUCAAAGAACCCACACAUCUUACAUAUUUCAAACUUUUAAGUUAGGAAAAAACUUUGCAUUGCUCACAGCUCAUAGCUCACAGCUCUAAAACCAGACAUUAGUAAAUCAUAUGCCUAAUCAUUAUGUGUCAUUGUGAUCCACAAGUAUGAUCACAAAUUUGUGAUCAAAAAGUUUAAGCUGAAGUAAUGAGUGCUGGAUAGCAAAUAAAUAAGUGUGUGUGUGUGUGUAUACGUGUGUAUACGUGUGUAUAUAUGAGAUGGCAUUGUUUAACGAGAUUGGGGUCUCAACAGUUGAGUUGGCUGAGCAUGGUGUAGCAUCUCAGCAUGUUCCCCUGUUGCCAGAUCAAGCUAUAGCACCAUCUGUGUCUACGCCUGUUGCUCAGGAACUGCCUGAGGGCACUGCCGACGACACUGCCUCAUUUUGAGCCACUCUCGAUACAGUUCUUUUUGGGUUCAAAGCAGGAUGCUAGGCUACGAGUUCAUCUGGCUCAUCUCCAGCUGGAGAGAGAAAAAUGCGAAAGGGAGUUUCAUCUGAAGGAGGAGUUGGAACUUAGGCGUUUAGGGGCAGAGCUGGCCAGAGCCAGGGAGAUUGAGCUGAAAAACGUGAAAGCAGAGACAACUUUUAAGAUGUAACAUUUAGAACUCCAACAGGUUUCCCUUCUUACGACUGCCACCAUUCCACAGCCACGGGCAGCGUUUGAUGUAGGAGAAAGGUUGGCUAGUUGAAAAAAGUUGGUUGAUGUGGCACAUUGACUUCUGAAGAAAUUUUAGAUUGCACUCAUCAGAAAAGUUGCCAACCCCUGCUAUAGAGUUUAAUUUGACUGUAUGAGAUUAACAUUCAGUUUCUAUGUUGUCAGCUAUAAUGGCUGGACAGCCUUUAAGAAUCAAAUCAGCUUCUAAAUAAUUUGCUGGUUUUUCCUCUUCUUGUUUUUUACUUUCUUUGAGGCUCUGGUGACUCUGUAGACUCUUGAGUCUAGAAAAGCAGCUGUUGGACAGAAAGAUGUCAACUGAGUGAUUCAAGACACCCUGUGCCAGAUGCAGCAAAGCAGCCCCAGAACAUAACAGAGCCUCCUCCAUGUUUCACAGGUGCCAGCAGUUUUGUCCACGUGUGUAUGUCCCACUGGGAGGAGUUCCCCUGGAUAAAGCUGGAGGUGGUGGCUGGGCAGAGAGAGUUCUGGGCUUCUCUGCUUGGGUCCCAGAGGCAGGAUCCUGACUGCAGAUAAAUGGAACAGUGCAAUGAUUCAGCUUGAUUGUCUAUCUUGAGGAUACCAGGAGAGACGAGCCCUCCGUCACAGAUGGUGUGUUCAGUGAAGAAAGUCACCUGCAGAUUCAAGACCAUUGCAUCUCUAUCCCACAUUCACUGCCACUGUACAUAAGGGAAGUUGAACUUUCUUCAACCACUGCAUUUUCAUCAUCUUAAUCCAUGAGUCAUUCAGGCAGUAAUGCCUGGACUGAGCAGGACUGCUUAAACUUGGGUUCAAAAUAAUUCAAUCUAAAACUUUGGUUUUGUUUUUUUUGUAAGGUUAUUAAAGUUUUAAAUUGUUUAACAAAUAAAUAUGAAAAUUUAAUUUGAUAAUAUUUGAAGUAUAAUUAAAUAACACAAGCUACAAUAGUGGGAAUAUACUUGUUUGUCAUUACAGUGUCCAGUAUGUUGGCUAAUAAAUAGUUUUUGCAUUUGAAAAUAAAAGUUGAGCUGAUUUCAGCUGCAUCACAAAAUGUGUUUUAUUAUUUUUUUUAAUCAUACUUGCAUACAUUGUUUAUUGAUUAGGUGUUGUACUAGAAAGCUCUUGUUCAAGGAUGACAAAAUGUAAUGUGAUUUAGUUGCAUUAUGAUUUGUAUGCAAGUAAAAUUAAAUUGCAAGUUACCACAAAUUGUUUUUAAUGUAGUUAAACUUAAUGUUUAUUUCAGUGGAUAAACAUUUAAUGUCUCAUUCAGGAAAUUUGGGGGGGGUGGCCAGUUUAGUGGCGACCCUGUCAUCAAGA
ensembl:lncRNA